CUCACAAUUCGCAUCGCCCCCCUCACCGCCGGCGGUUCCCUCCCACAACAAGUACCACCCAUCCACCUCUCUCUCCCUGGACACAUCUCCGCCGCCACAGAUGCCGGCCGAUUCCGGCGUUCUCUGGCGACUUCCGCCACCGCGCAGCACCGGUCCGAGCUCGCCUCGCUCCGCUGGGUCUUUUCCCCCAGCGGGAUUCGCCGCUAUCGGCCACCAGCGAUGACCUUAAGCCCUCACCAUGGCUAGGGUUUCGGGCGCCUCCACACUGGUGUGGCUCCCGCGCCUCCAGCGACUCCUCUCCGACGCCCACCGCGCCCUCACACGCAGCUCCAUCUCUAGGAUGUUGCUCCUCCGCCUGGUGGCCAUGGGAUGUGCAGGGCAAGGAUUGGAUGCUUGAGGAAGGAGGGGUCGACCUUGCCUUGCUGCAGCUCGGGGCGACCACCCAUGGAGCUUCCUCCUUUCUAUCUUCAGGUGUUUGAGGCAUCGACAAGCAACGACAGGGUUCGGCGUCGGUUGAGCUAGCUGCUAGGGACGCCUCUCUCUCAAUUAUCUCUAUCUCCGUCUCUGUCAUGAUAUUUAGAAGCCAUCUAUUAAUCCCGUCGAUGCCUAAUUCCAAAAUCUCAUUUCGCUCGCUCUCAAUACCCCGUCCCUCUCUAUAGUUACGGGAUGUGCCGCCGCCGCCAGCACGGUCCCAACGGCCGCCACGAGUCUCCCCGGUCGCCGUCGCCGUCCGUCUGUGCUCCAAGCUCGACGGUUCCAGUAAGAGAAUAGACAAUGCUGACAGUUAGGUGAUAUUUCAUAGCACUGUCAAUGUCAGGUAUGUCGAAAAUUGCUCUCUUUUUAUUUAUCAUUUACUUAGCCAACUUAUUUUACUACCUGGGGUGUUCUGGAGUUUUGUUUGUAAAACAGAUUGUGUUUUCUUUUGUUCUGGAGUGUUGGUACUGAUGCAUAAAACUACUGCAUCCAAAAUGGCAUGGUAUUAGUAUUUUUAUUUUUAAAAGAAUGCCACUUGCUUUAAGCUCUCAUUAAAUCAAAAUAUGUACUGAUGUUAUCGACACUUGAAUAUUAGUACUUUAUCGACACUAGAAUAUGCAUUAUGAUUUAGUGCACGUUCAACAAAUGGUCAAUGGAUCAGUAUUUUCUGGAAACUUUCUGUUACAUAUGAAGUUUUGAUUUCAGCUUGAUAUAUUAAUAAUAUUAUUACCAUGUUUCUUGUAAAUAUCUAUUUGAGAACUUUGCAGCUAAAUUGGUGCAUGUAUAUUAUAGAAGUAAAACACUUGAAAAUAGAUUCAGCAUGGUUCCUGCACUCCCAACUUUUCAUUGUUGACUGCUCGUCAAAAAACAAUUAUUCAUCAGGGGCAGUCAUGGUUGUUCGCGACUCCGCAAGAAGAUGAUCAAGGGUCGGCGGCGCGGCUGCUUCGUCGUCAUCUUAGACGAGUACCGUCCAACACGAUUUUCCGCUGCCAUGUUCCAUGGAAUGUCACUGCUUUUAUCAUGGCAUCCAACACUUGCAGAUGUGACUCAAAAGGGGGUUCUGAAGUUGAUGAACUUGGAUGGCCUGACAGUCUACCAUACCAACAACCAUCUCCAAGUACACGAACUUGAAGAAUUUCUUAGAUUCAUACACACCUUCAGUUAUAGAUAUUUGCUUUGUUCUCUAGAAUUCUUAUACAUUUUAAGCGGAUGAGCUGCCCAUAUAUCCAUUAGGAAAUGAUGGAGGUGACCCUUUUUAAAAUGAUGUUUCAGGAAAAAAUUCCAGUAAAGAUCAGGGUGCCAGCAGCGUUUCUAUUAUGUUUCAGGAGAAAUUUGGAUUUUUUGGACAGUUAUUGCAGCCAUCUUUAUGAAUGAGUAUAAAAACAACACUAUGAGGUAAUGCAAGAAUGAGGGUGCCUCUUUUUUCAUAAUAUUCGAACAUAUGGGCUACUCAAGGCUUUAUGUUGUUUUUCAAUCUAAGGCACGUGAAACUUUACUGUCAUUAUUUUACAUACCAAUAUCAUUGCUUCCUCCAAUUUCAAUUGAUUUUGAUUUCUUGAUUCAUGUGUGUAUAGGACAAAGAGGAGUAUUGGAAAUCUUAAAACCAGCCCCCCNNNNNNNNNNNNNNNNNNNNNNNNNNNNNNNNNNNNNNUGGCUCGAGAAAGAAGGAAAAAAUUGGCAUGAUCUGUUCGAUCUACUACAGGUAAUUUGGUCUUCUAUUGCGCACACACUAUAUCUUCAUGUAAAAAUAAUCUAGAGGCUUGUUCUCGAAAGAAGCAAUUCUUCUCUUCAAUUCAAACAGUUGCAAGCAAGAUUCUGAAAUAACACUGUGCAGUCUUCCUUUCUUUCUUUCUCAUGUCUAUACCUACUAUUAAAGAGAAUAACACUUCUUCCUCCUGAUUUUUUGUACGUUUGUCUUCCUUUCUUUCGUAUGUCAAAAGUGCCUUCGUCCGUCAGGUGUGGGACAAGGGGAUCGAACUCCUAACCUGGGCUCUGUUACGAGCAACAACUACCACCGAGCUAGCAUCAGGUUGUGUUCCUAAGUUCUGAUUCGUCUGUCUAUUAAAUAGUCCCUCCUGCUUUCUAAAACCCUAACUGAUCAAUUUAUCUACUCCCUCCGUCCGAAAAUCUUGUCGGAGAAAUGGAUGUAUCUAGACAUACUUUAGUUCUAGAUACAUUCAUUUGCCGGAGGGAGUAUGUCUUUGACUUGAAAUCAGUAAACCACCUUGAGGUUCAAUAAGCAGAGUGUAGUGGGUCCUGUUUAAUUACAAAUAUCAUCAGGAAUGAAUUACCUCCAUUGAGGGCAUAUAUAUGAACGAGGGACAAGGCAAAUGGACGCCGGAACCGCAUAUACAUAUGAACAAGGCGGGAUUCAGGAAAGAAAAGAGAGGAAGCGAGGCGGGAUUGAGUUCUCUCGCACCAUGCGACGGAGGCGAGGGUCUGAUGGACGAGCGGCGCUGCCGAGAGGGAGAGAGACUGCCAUGGAGGAGAGUUUGGAGAGCCGCACCGUUGUGGGGGAAGGCAGAAGCACAUACGCCGCCGACUCGGAUCUUCCAACGUUUCUGAUGCAAAGCUAUAGCCACUAGAGGCUGGAGAGGUCCUAUGCAUCGCUGCUGCUAUUCAUGUCACUGGAAAGCUGAAAACUGCCAAGUCUGUUUGUUCUCUUUUAGUGUAUAUAUAGCCACCGUGGGAAGGCUAGCAGGACAAAUAUAUUGCAUCAUGUGAAGAAGCAAACAAAGCAGCAACAAGGUUCUAGAAGCCCGGUGUAGAUGCAGAUGAUGGCGAUGGUCAUGAAGACGAUCAGGCUCAGCCAUCCGCCAUGAACGUAUGCCCAAGAACAAACAAACAAUUAAUCAAGUGAAUGCAUCAAAAUGUGUACAUACAGGUGACAAGUGCUUGAACUACUAGCUAGCAUUGGGCUGUAUAUAUAGAUAGAAUAUUUCUUGCGCGGUUUUAUUUAUCUUUUGUGUCUGGUCACCCUGUAAUAUUACAAAAUCACUAAAAAAUCAUGUGUUCAUAAAAUGUUGGGCUUCAAAACAUGCUUCAACUCUAAUAACAAAAC
rnacentral:rRNA from 1 species